GGAUUUAAAUAUUGGAUUAGUAUUCAAUUGAUAAAAUAUUAAUUGCGGAAAGCCUGAAGGCGAUGGUGCACGGUGCAUUUCAAGAGCUUUUUGAUACGCAAGUGGAGCACUCAUGAUAAGUGAAACUGUCUAUUAAAGUGUUAACCUGACUUUUAUAACGUGACACACACCAUUGGAUUCCAAUGACUGCCUUAAAUAUUAUAUUUAUUCUUUUGACAUCCUUAAAAAUAUUUAUUUUAAUUUUAAUUCUGUAAAAUAUUUAAUUUAAAUUUUUAGUUGAAUUUCGGGUGUGGUUUUAGUUUUACUAGUGCUUUGUGUGUACCUGAAUGUUGAUGGAAACUGAUUGUAGUCUGUCUUUUCAGACCGAAGUGGUGGAUUUAUUUCAAGCUUUUCUAACAUAGGCCGUUGAUCAGGUUUAGUUUUCUGAGUGUUUUUGGUGUAAUAGUUUUCUGAGUGUUGGGCCAAAGUUGCAUCUUUCUUGAGGAGAGCCUCUUAAAGAUCUUAAUAUAAUUCAUUCCGCUAAACAAAUUUUAUUAUAUGCCACUUAAAGUGGCACUACUGGUGGAAGUUUGGAGAAAAUUAUUUUGGGUAUGAGAAACAUUUAAACAUGGCAAAACAUAAACGGGAAAUACAUGUACUUUUUACUUCAUCAUACCCUAUUUUUGUGGAAAUUGUACAUGACAAAAGUGGUAUUAUCUCUGGACCCAUAUAUUCGUUGAGGCUGGCUCAUGUGACUCUGAGAGAGCCCAUUCUCCCUUAUUCAUAGUUCAUUUACCUCAUAAGAAACGUAUACGUUAAUUCUAGCUACACUCUAGCCGUAAGAUAAGAAGGAAACAACCAUUAGUUUCUGCGACUGGUCAACAGUGUUUGAUAUAUCAGCAUCACAUAAGAUGUGACAACAUUGACCAUCACCAUCGUGAGAUUUGAUUGGCAUGAUUCGAGCAAUGCUUAGUUCCCGGUACAGAAAAACCAUUAAUUUCUUAUUAUUUUUAUUGAUCAUAUUUAUUUUGUGAUAAAUAUGUUUUAAACCAGUUUCAGUAAAAUAAUUUUUUUACCAUGAUGUUGAGACCUUUUUCCAAAGUUUAUUUAUUUUGUUAGCAAUAUGAAUAUGCAAUCUAAUAUAUAAUGAGGCACUUUUGCCUCUCCUGAAGCUAUCCACGUAUGCAUUUCAUAAAGACUGUGGGCCCACUGUCAUCUCGGUUUGGUUUGGCGAUUAUGUUCUCGCGCGGUAUGAUUUUGGUUCAACUAAUAAUUGGUUAUGUCAUCAAACACACCGUUUAGUGUUCAAGUCAAUUAGAUUGUUCUUCGACUCUUUACCUUCGCCGUCUCCGUUCAGCUUCUCUGCAAACACCAAACGUUCAUUCUCCAAACUCUUAAUCUUCCCUAUCGUUCAAUGUAUUUUCUUAAUGUUUUCGUCAUUUAACUCAGAAGCGAGGUCGACCUCUCCAUUUACUUCACAUCAAACCCAGGCCUGCUCAAACCUAUAAAAUGGAGAGGGUUAAGGGUUGGUGAAUCUUCACAGCUAUUCUCUGUUAAUUGAUAGAAUCUCACACACCAGUAAGAAGACAAGAAAAAACGCAACGCCAUUUGCUGAUCUUCCAAGAUCCGCAGCGCCAUCUCUCUCUCUUAAGCUCCCGAUUUGAUCCUAGCAAACUUAAGUGAUCUCUCUUUGCUUACUGAAACAUGAAGAUGGGAAGUCUGCAGUUCUGAACAGUCUUAUUGGACAUCCAGUUCUGCCUACAGGUGACAAUGGUGCUACACGAGCUCCUAUAAUAAUUGACUUUCGUUGAGAAGCUGUUAUCUUGCAAACUGACAACAAAUCUCAACAAGUUUCAGCAAUGCUCUGAGUCACUCUCUUCCAGAUAGACUUAGCAAAGGAGCCUCAGGGAAGAAUCAUGAUCAAAUAUAUUUAAACCUUCGUACCAGCACAGCUCCACCACUGAAAUUAGUUGACCUGCCUGGACUGGACCAAAGAAUUGUGGAUGAUUCAAUGAUUGCUGAAUGAUGCCAUACUGCUGAUUAUAGUCCCUGCUAGCCAGGGCUCCGAAGAUUGCGAAGGAGCAUGAUCCAGAAAGCACUAGGACAGUAGGCAUUAUCAGGAAACUUGGCCAGGCUGCAGAGAACCCAAAAGCCCUCCCAGCUGUUCAGGCUCUUCUCUCAAAUCAAGGACCGCCAAAAACAACUGACAUCCCAUGGGUUGCUCUUAUUGGCCAAUCCGUUUCAAUUGCAUCAGAACAGUCUGGAAGUGGUGUGAAGAACUCCUUAGAAACUGCAUGGCCUGCUGAGAGUGAAAGUCUGAAGUCCAUUUUGACUGGGGCUCCACAAAGCAAGCUUGGCAGAAUUGUCUUGGUGGACACCCUUGCUAGCCAGAUCCGUAGCAAAAUGAAGCUCAUGCUUCCAAAUAUCUUUUCCGGGCUCCAGGGUAAGUCUCAAAUGGUGCAGAAUGAGCUAGCGAGGCUUGGGGAAUAACUCUGGUUCUGUCUCUUUACAAUUUCUUAUAGUACUAUGCAAUUCCUAUUUCAGACUUUGCAAUAUUUUCCCAAUUUCCAGUAUUUUUUUCAAAGCCAUUUACGGCAAUGUACCUCAUCCCAGGAGAAUAGUUUCUAAUUUUUAAUAGUUAAAAAGGGUUGACUUAAUAUUUAGUAUGGCGGUAAAAAAAUGCAGAACAUGUGAUUUUAAAUAGAAACACUAUACAUGUGCAUUAAUAUUAAUUUAGUCAUCUUUUCUCUUCUUCUUAUACAUAUCUUCUUAUACAUAUCUUCUGAUAAUCACUACGACUAUACUAAGCAAACUACUUGACUCUACCUCUAUAACAUUUUAAACUACAACAACACAUAUAUCUUUAACAUCUCCGCGCUUGCGCGGGGCUCCGCUCCUAGUAUGUAC